rnacentral:lncRNA from 1 species
AUGGCUUCUUAUCUACAGAGGGCCAGUGUGGUGUUAUGGUCUGGUCAUUGUUGCAUGGCUUCUUAUCCAGAGGACCAGAGUGGUGUUAUGGUCUGGUCGUUGUUGCAUGGCUUCUUAUCCAUAGAGGACCAGUGUGGUGUUAUGGUCUGGUCAUUGUUGCAUGGCUUCUUAUCCAGAGGACCAGUGUGGUGUUAUGGUCUGGUCAUUGUUGCAUGGCUUCUUAUCUACAGAGGACCGGUGUGGUGUUAUGGUCUGGUCAUUGUUGCAUGGCUUCUUAUCCAGAGGACCAGUGUGGUGUUAUGGUCUGGUCGUUGUUGCAUGGCUUCUUAUCCACAGAGGACCGGCGUGGGUGCAGGGUUGUGUUCUAACCAAGCAACAACAAACCUGAUUCAACUAAUCAUGCCCUUCGAAGUACAUGGUUAUCUAGUCAACACCGCAUGGCAAGCAGUCGUUAACACAGCUGAGGUAGAGCUCUCUCUCACACACCUCAGAGAGAGGAGGGGGACAGACCGAGAGAGGAGGGGGGACAGACCGAGAGAGGAGGGGGGACAGACCGAGAGAGGAGGGGGGACAGACCGAGAGAGGAGGGGGGACAGACCGAGAGAGGAGGGGGGACAGACCGAGAGAGGAGGGGGGACAGACCGAGAGAGGAGGGGGGACAGACCGAGAGAGGAGGGGGGACAGACCGAGAGAGGAGGGGGGACAGAACGAGAGGGGAGGGGGGACAGAACGAGAGGGGAGGGGGGACAGAACGAGAGGGGAGGGGGGACAGAACGAGAGGGGAGGGGGGACAGAACGAGAGAGGAGGGGGGACAGACCGAGAGAGGAGGGGGGACAGAACGAGAGAGGAGGGGGGACAGAACGAGAGAGGAGGGGGUACAGAACGAGAGAGGAGGGGGUACAGACCGAGAGAGGAGGGGGGACAGACCGAGAGAGGAGGGGGGACAGACCGAGAGAGGAGGGGGGACAGACCGAGAGAGGAGGGGGACAGAACGAGAGAGGAGGGGGACAGAACGAGAGAGGAGGGGGACAGAACGAGAGAGGAGGGGGGACAGAACGAGAGAGGAGGGGGGACAGAACGAGAGAGGAGGGGGGACAGAACGAGAGAGGAGGGGGGACAGAACGAGAGAGGAGGGGGGACAGAACGAGAGAGGAGGGGGGACAGAACGAGAGAGGAGGGGGGACAGACCGAGAGAGGAGGGGGGACAGAACGAGAGAGGAGGGGGGACAGACCGAGAGAGGAGGGGGGACAGACCGAGAGAGGAGGGGGGACAGACCGAGAGAGGAGGGGGGACAGACCGAGAGAGGAGGGGGGACAGACCGAGAGAGGAGGGGGGACAGACCGAGAGAGGAGGGGGGACAGACCGAGAGAGGAGGGGGACAGAACGAGAGGGGAGAGGGACAGAACGAGAGGGGAGAGGGACAGAACGAGAGGGGAGAGGGACAGAACGAGAGGGGAGGGGGACAGAAACACACUUUUUUUUUGCAUGUUAG